rnacentral:SRP_RNA from 1 species
GCCAGGCAUUGUGUUGGGUGCCUGUAGUCCCAUCUACUUAGGAGGCUGAGGCAGGAGGAUUGCUUGAGUCUAGGAGUUUGAGUUUGCAGUGAAUUAUGAUGAUGCCACUGUAUUCUAACCCAGGCAACAGAGAGAUACUCUGCCUUAU